AUGUUUGAAAAUUUUGGCGAGGCACUAUAUGAAUGUGGAUCAUAUGUUCUCAUCGAAGUUGUGCCUUGUCGUGAAUACACAGCGAGGCAUGUAAAGAAGGAUUCAAGGGACAAAUGGUGCAAAAAUGAAUUCCGCGUUCAGGUCAACGAGGAUGCCGACGAAUUCAAGUGUGAAUGUGGAAUGUUUGAACAUUUUGGCAUGGUGUGCAGCCAUGCCCUGAAGGUAAUGAUACAGCUUGGUCCACAGGAGGUCCCAGCCGGGCACAUAAUGAAGCGUUGGACAAGGGAUGCAAGGGACAUACUACCUCAAGAAUUUCUGCGUUACCAAAAGGACCAGGGUCCUCUUAAGUACUCUUCGCGGCGACAUAAUAAUCUGCAUCUGAUGUGCCUUGAAAUUGUUAGGCUAGGUGACAGCAAUGUGGAUGCGUAUACUCUUGCGAUGGAGCAGCUACGAAAUGUGAAAAUGUUGCUCGAGCCGGUGGCUGCUAUACGUGAUGGCAUGGGAUUAUCAGACAGAGAGCUGGCAGGUGAUUCUGCAGGUUCAGCGACAGCACAGAAGCAGCAUUUUGGCCCAACAAAUCAGGUGCAAAGUGCCUCACAAUGUUCAGAUAGCUUUGCGGCGCCAUCAAAGAAGAGACCAGCGGGGCGCCCCACGACAAGCCGCGACAAAGCACCGUACGAACAGCCAGUUAAGAGGAGUAGGUUCUGUUCAAUCUGCCGUGGCCAAGGGCACAAGAGCACAACAUGUCCACAGCGGGAUGAUCUUCCAAAGGCGCCAAGGAAGUCACCUCGCUGCUCCAGAUGCAGCCUGACAGGCCACAGAAGGAACGCCUGCACCAACACGCCCAAGGCAGAUUUCUAUGGUUGA
rnacentral:rRNA from 1 species